rnacentral:rRNA from 1 species
UGCAAGUCGAACGGUAGACCGGUGCUUGCACCGGUUGAGAGUGGCGCACGGGUGAGUAACACGUAGGUGAUCUACCCCUGGGUUGGGGAUAGCCUGUGGAAACACAGGGUAAUACCGAAUACGACCGAGUUCCUGUGGGAGCUUGGGGAAAGGCCCUAAGGGGUCGUCCGGGGAUGAGCCUGCGGUCCAUUAGCUAGUUGGUGUGGUAAGAGCGCACCAAGGCGACGAUGGAUAGCCGGCCUGAGAGGGUGAUCGGCCACACUGGGACUGAGACACGGCCCAGACUCCUACGGGAGGCAGCAGCUAAGAAUCUUCCGCAAUGGGCGAAAGCCUGACGGAGCGACGCUGCGUGAACGAAGAAGGCCGUGAGGUUGUAAAGUUCUUUUCCUGGGGAGGAAUAAUGGCCGGAGGGAAUGCCGGUCAGAUGACGUGAACCAGGGAAUAAGCCCCGGCUAAUUCCGUGCCAGCAGCCGCGGUAACACGGAAGGGGCGAGCGUUGUUCGGAUUUAUUGGGCGUAAAGGGCGUGUAGGCGGCAGUGCAAGUCUGGUGUGAAAGACUCCGGCUCAACCGGGGAAGCGCGCUGGAAACUGUGCUGCUUGAGUUUAGGAGGGGGAACUGGAAUUCCUGGUGUAGGGGUGAAAUCUGUAGAGAUCAGGAAGAACACCGGAGGCGAAGGCGAGUUCCUGGCCAUAGACUGACGCUGAGGCGCGAAAGCGUGGGGAGCGAACAGGAUUAGAUACCCUGGUAGUCCACGCUGUAAACGAUGUGCACUAGGUGUUGGGGAUGAUGAUCCUCAGUGCCGCAGCUAACGCGUUAAGUGCACCGCCUGGGGAGUAUGCUCGCAAGGGUGAAACUCAAAGGAAUUGACGGGGGCCCGCACAAGCGGUGGAGCACGUGGUUUAAUUCGAUGAUACGCGAGAAACCUUA